rnacentral:lncRNA from 1 species
UUGGAGCUAGGGUUAGGGUUGGGCUUGGAGCUAGGAUUUUUCUGAGUGCAAUGAACCAACUCCCGAGUCUCUAGGACGUUCCUAAAAAAAUUUGAUUUUUUCCCAUAGGAAUGCAUGGGUUAGGGUUAGGGUUGGAGCUAGGGUUAGGGUUAGGGUUAGGGUUGGAGUUAGGGUUAGUGUUGGAGCUAGGGUUAGGGUUGGGCUUGGAGCUAGGAUUUUUCUGAGUGCAAUGAACCAACUCCCGAGUCUCUAGGACGUUCCUAAAAAAAUUUGAUUUUUUCCCAUAGGAAUGCAUGGGUUAGGGUUAGGGUUAGGGUUGGAGCUAGGGUUAGGGUUAGGGUUGGAGUUAGGGUUAGUGUUGGAGCUAGGGUUAGGGUUGGGCUUGGAGCUAGGAUUUUUCUGAGUGCAAUGAACCAACUCCCGAGUCUCUAGGACGUUCCUAAAAAAAAUUGUUUUUUUCCCAUAGGAAUGCAUGGGUUAGGGUUAGGGUUAGUGUUGGAGCUAGGGUUAGGGUUAGGGUUAGGGUUGGAGUUAGGGUUAGUGUUGGAGCUAGGGUAAGGGUUGGGCUUGGAGCUAGGAUUUUUCUGAGUGCAAUGAACCAACUCCUGAGUCUCUAGGACGUUCCUGAAAAAAAUUGAUUUUUUCCCAUAGGAAUGCAUGGGUUAGGGUUAGGGUUAGGGUUGGAGCUAGGGUUAGGGUUGGAGCUAGGGUUAGGGUUAGGGUUAGGGUUGGAGUUAGGGUUAGUGUUGGAGCUAGGGUUAGGGUUGGGCUUGUAGCUAGGAUUUUUCUGAGUGCAAUGAACCAACUCCUGAGUCUCUAGGACGUUCCUAAAAAAAUUUGUUUUUUUCCCAUAGGAAUGCAUGGGUUAGGGUUACGGUUAGGGUUAGGGUUGGAGUUAGGGUUAGUGUUGGAGCUAGGGUUAGGGUUAGGGUUAGAGCUAGGGUUAGGGUUAGGGUUAGGGUUAAGGUUGGAGCUAGGGUUAGGGUUAGGGUUAGGGUUGGAGCCAGGGUUAGGGUUAGGGUUAGGGUUGGAGUUAGGGUUAGUGUUGGAGCUAGGGUUAGGGUUGGGCUUGGAGCUAGGAUUUUUCUGAGUGCAAUGAACCAACUCCCGAGUCUCUAGGAUGUUCCUUAAAAAAAUUUGAUUUUUUCCCAUAGGAAUGCAUGGGUUAGGGUUAGGGUUAGUGUUGGAGCUAGGGUUAGGGUUAGGGUUAGGGUUGGAGUUAGGGUCAGUGUUGGAGCUAGGGUUAGGGUUGGGCUUGGAGCUAGGAUUUGUCUGAGUGCAAUGAACCAACUCUUGAGUCUCUAGGACGUUCCUAAAAAAAUUGAUUUUUUCCCAUAGGAAUGCAUGGGUUAGGGUUAGUGUUAGGGUUGGAGUUAGGGUCAGUGUUGGAGCUAGGGUUAGGGUUGGGCUUGGAGCUAGGAUUUUUCUGAGUGCAAUGAACCAACUCCCGAGUCUCUAGGAUGUUCCUAAAAAAAUUUGAUUUUUUCCCAUAGGAAUGCAUGGGUUAGGGUUAGGGUUAGGGUUGGAGCUAGGGUUAGGGUUAGGGUUAGGGUUGGAGUUAGUGUUAGUGUUGGAGCUAGGGUUAGGGUUGGGCUUGGAGCUAGAAUUUUUCUGAGUGCAAUGAACCAACUCCUGAGUCUCUAGGACGUUCCUAAAAAAAUUUGUUUUUUUCCCAUAGGAAUGCAUGGGUUAGGGUUAGGGUUAGGGUUAAGGUUGGAGUUAGGGUUAGUGUUGGAGCUAGGGUUAGGGUUGGGGCUAGGGUUAGGGUUAGGGUUAGGGUUAAGGUUGGAGCUAGGGUUAGGGUUAGGGUUAGGGUUGGAGCCAGGGUUAGGGUUAGGGUUGGAGUUAGGGUUAGUGUUGGAGCUAGGGUUAGGGUUGGGCUUGGAGCUAGGAUUUUUCUGAGUGCAAUGAACCAACUCCCGAGUCUCUAGGAUGUUCCUAAAAAAAUUUGAUUUUUUUCCCAUAGGAAUGCAUGGGUUAGGGUUAGGGUUAGUGUUGGAGCUAGGGUUAGGGUUAGGGUUAGGGUUGGAGUUAGGGUUAGUGUUGGAGCUAGGGUUAGGGUUGGGCUUGGAGCUAGGAUUUUUCUGAGUGCAAUGAACCAACUCCCGAGUCUCUAGGAUGUUCCUAAAAAAAUUUGAUUUUUUCCCAUAGGAAUGCAUGGGUUAGGGUUAGGGUUAGUGUUGGAGCUAGGGUUAGGGUUAGGGUUAGGGUUGGAGUUAGGGUCAGUGUUGGAGCUAGGGUUAGGGUUGGGCUUGGAGCUAGGAUUUUUCUGAGUGCAGUGAACCAACUCCUGAGUCUCUAGGACAUUCCUAAAAAAAAUUGUUUUUUUCCCAUAGGAAUGCAUGGGAUAGGGUUAGGGUUAGGGUUAGGGUUAGGGUUGGAGUUAGGGUUAGUGUUGGAGCUAGGGUUAGGGUUGGGCUUGGAGCUAGGAUUUUUCUGAGUGCAAUGAACCAACUCCCGAGUCUCUAGGAUGUUCCUAAAAAAAUUUGUUUUUUUCCCAUAGGAAUGCAUGGGUUAGGGUUAGGGUUAGGGUUAAGGUUGGAGUUAGGGUUAGUGUUGGAGCUAGGGUUAGGGUUGGGGCUAGGGUUAGG